rnacentral:rRNA from 1 species
GUCGCAAGAUUAAUCCAUGCAUGUCUGAGUGUAUACAAGUUUGUACUGUGAAACUGCGAGUGGGUCGUUAAAUCGUGUAUAAUUUAUUUGAUGAUACCUUGCUUCAUGGAGACUGUGGUAAUUCUAGAGCUUAUACCUGCAAUCCAUCCCCUACUUCUGGGAGGGGUGUAUUUAUUUUAAUAAAAACCAACAUGGUUCGCCGCUCCUUUGUUGAUUGGAAUGGCUUUUCCCAUCCCAGGGCCUUGUGCCUAGGGGCUUUCAUUCGAAAAUCUGCCCUAUCAACUUUGAAUGGUAGACCAGACUCCUACCAGAGGUUCAACGGGGAAUAUUGAACAAUGGUUCGAUUCCUGAACCGGACCCGGAGAAAGGGCUACCACAUCCCUAUGGGUCGUAAACCGCUUUUUUACGGGAUCCCCGUUGGUACAGGUACCAACCUGAAUGUACCGUUAGAGCUCUGAUGGGCUAACUCAUUGCCAUGAGCCCCAUUAAUACCCAUGAUCCAAGCGCAAUCGGGAGGUAAGUCGUGUGACAGCAGCCUCGGCAGGUGAAUCUCUCAUAGGUGAUAUACAUCUUGUCGCCCUGUGCAGUGCCUUUGAUACUGUUUUUCUUGAAUGUGUACGAAGGAGGCGGAACGGGACAAGUAGCGGUGAAAUGCAUAGAUAUGUCCCAGAACCCCGAUUGCGAAGGCAGCUUCCUAGAACAUAAUUGACGCUGAUGCACGAAAGCGUGGGGAUCGAACAGGAUUAGAUACCCUGGUAGUCCACGCCCUAAACGAUGAUGACUCGAUGUUUGCGAUAUAUUGUAAGCGUCCAAGCGAAAGCGUUAAGUCAUCCACCUGGGGAGUACGAUCGCAAGAUUGAAACUCAAAGGAAUUGACGGGGGCCCGCACAAGCGGAGGAGCAUGUGGUUUAAUUCGAUGAUACGCGAGGAACCUUACCCGGGCUUGAAAGUUACUGAAUGAUCCAGAGACGGAUCAGUCCUUCGGGACAGGAAACUAGGUGCUGCAUGGCUGUCGUCAGCUCGUGCCGUGAGGUGUUGGGUUAAGUCCCGCAACGAGCGCAACCCCUAUGUUUAGUUGCCAGCAUUUAAAGGUGGGGACUCUAAACAGACUGCCUGCGCAAGCAGAGAGGAAGGCGGGGACGACGUCAAGUCAUCAUGGCCCUUACGUCCGGGGCUACACACGUGCUACAAUGGGCAGUACAGCGGGUUGCUACCUGGCAACAGGAUGCCAAUCUCUAAAAGCUGUCCACAGUUCGGAUCGGGGCCUGCAACUCGGCCCCGUGAAGCUGGAUUCGCUAGUAAUCGCGUAUCAGCAAUGACGCGGUGAAUACGUUCCCGGGCCUUGUACACACCGC